GCGCAGCAGUCGCGAAACCUCCGCAAUACACGAAAGUGUGACGGGGCCAUCCCGAGUGCCGUCCGCUGAGGACGGCUUUUCCCCAGUGUACACAGCUGGGGGAAUAAGGAAAGGGCAAGCCUGGUGUCAGCCGCCGCGGUAAUACCAGCUCUCCGAGUGGUGGGGACGCUUAUUGGGCCUAAAGCAUCCGUAGCCGGCUGGGCAAGUCCUCCGUUAAAUCCAACGAUUCAAUCGUUGGGCUGCGGGGGAUACUGUCCAGCUUGGGGGCGGGAGAGGCCGACGGUAUUCCCGGGGUAGGGGUGAAAUCCUAUAAUCCCGGGAGGACCACCAGUGGCGAAGGCUGUCGGCUAGAACGCGCCCGACGGUGAGGGAUGAAAGCUGGGGGAGCGAACCGGAUUAGAUA
rnacentral:rRNA from 1 species